GACGAACGCUGGCGGCGUGCCUAAUACAUGCAAGUAGAACGCUGAAGGAGGAGCUUGCUUCUCUGGAUGAGUUGCGAACGGGUGAGUAACGCGUAGGUAACCUGCCUGGUAGCGGGGGAUAACUAUUGGAAACGAUAGCUAAUACCGCAUAAGAGUAGAUGUCGCAUGACAUUUGCUUAAAAGGUGCAAUUGCAUCACUACCAGAUGGACCUGCGUUGUAUUAGCUAGUUGGUGAGGUAACGGCUCACCAAGGCAACGAUACGUAGCCGACCUGAGAGGGUGAUCGGCCACACUGGGACUGAGACACGGCCCAGACUCCUACGGGAGGCAGCAGUAGGGAAUCUUCGGCAAUGGACGGAAGUCUGACCGAGCAACGCCGCGUGAGUGAAGAAGGUUUUCGGAUCGUAAAGCUCUGUUGUAAGAGAAGAACGAGUGUGAGAGUGGAAAGUUCACACUGUGACGGUAUCUUACCAGAAAGGGACGGCUAACUACGUG
rnacentral:rRNA from 1 species